rnacentral:rRNA from 1 species
AUUGAACGCUGGCGGAAUGCUUUACACAUGCAAGUCGAACGGCAGCACGGACUUCGGUCUGGUGGCGAGUGGCGAACGGGUGAGUAAUGUAUCGGAACGUGCCCAGUCGUGGGGGAUAACGUAGUGAAAAUUACGCUAAUACCGCAUACGAUCCAUGGAUGAAAGCGGGGGAUCGCAAGACCCCGCGCGAUUGGAGCGGCCCAUAUCAGAUUAGGUAGUUGGUGGGGUAAAGGCCCACCAAGCCAACGAUCUGUAGCUGGUCUGAGAGGACGACCAGCCACACUGGAACUGAGACACGGUCCAGACUCCUACGGGAGGCAGCAGUGGGGAAUUUUGGACAAUGGGCGAAAGCCUGAUCCAGCCAUUCCGCGUGCAGGAUGAAGGCCCUCGGGUUGUAAACUGCUUUUGUACAGAACGAAAAGGUUUCUACUAAUACUAGGAGCUCAUGACGGUACUGUAAGAAUAAGCACCGGCUAACUACGUGCCAGCAGCCGCGGUAA